GUGCCAGCCGCCGCGGCAAUACGUAGGGUGCGAGCGUUAAUCGGAAUUACUGGGCGUAAAGCGUGCGCAGGCGGUUUGUUAAUAUAGGCGUGAAAUCCCCGGGCUCAACCUGGGAACUGCGUUUAUGACUGGCAGGCUAGAGUAUGGCAGAGGGGGGUGGAAUUCCACGUGUAGCAGUGAAAUGCGUAGAGAUGUGGAGGAGCACCGGUGGCGAAGGCGACUUCCUGGACCGAAACUGACGCUGAGACGCGAAAGCGUGGGGAGCAAACAGGAUUAGAUACCCUGGUAGUCCACGCUGUAA
rnacentral:rRNA from 1 species